rnacentral:rRNA from 1 species
UACGUAGGCGGUUAGAUAAGUCAGAUGUGAAAGCCCUGGGCUUAACCUGGGAACUGCAUUUGAUACUGUCAGACUAGAGUGUGGUAGAGGGAAGUGGAAUUCCGGGUGUAGCGGUGAAAUGCGUAGAUAUCCGGAGGAACACCAGUGGCGAAGGCGGCUUCCUGGACCAACACUGACGCUGAGGUACGAAAGCGUGGGUAGCAAACAGGAUUAGAUACCCUGGUAGUCC